CUCGCCGCUGAUGCAACACAUUGACAGGUUCCCACGGUUUAUACAUCGACCUCAAGUGUUAAGACAUUAACUCUAAGGAGCGAGGCACCAUGGGAGAACAGCUGAGCCCAGAUGAGAAGCUUCACCUCAUCACUAGGAACCUUCAGGAGGUGCUUGGAGAAGACAAGAUAAAGCAGGUUCUGACAGAGAGGGAGCUGAAGGUGUACUGGGAACUGCCACCACAGGAAAGCCCCAUGUUGCCUACUUCGUCCCCAUGUCCAAG